UAAAUUCAUUUGCUACUUUUUUUUUUUUUCACUGUGGGUUGCACUAAUGCUAGAUGUGGUAUCAAGUGGAACAAAAUCUAGCAAACAACCAAACCAGGCUACAUUGGAAUAAUUCUAACAAAAGAAGGCAGUGCUGCUAAGGGAGAGGUGGUAGGAAUCUCCCCAGAAAUGCCUCAGAAAGAAGAUUCUGACAGAUAUCCUUGAUUUGAUGUGCAAUGAAAGUCAGAAAAGAUAAAAUCUGAGAAGUUCCCAGUUUCCCCAAGACCAUUUGUUGAAGAGACUGUCCUUGCUUAAGAGAUUGAUU